rnacentral:rRNA from 1 species
GACGAACGCUGGCGGCGUGCUUAACACAUGCAAGUCGAACGGAAAGGCCCUGCUUUUGUGGGGUGCUCGAGUGGCGAACGGGUGAGUAACACGUGAGUAACCUGCCCUUGACUUUGGGAUAACUUCAGGAAACUGGGGCUAAUACCGGAUAGGAGCUCCUGCUGCAUGGUGGGGGUUGGAAAGUUUCGGCGGUUGGGGAUGGACUCGCGGCUUAUCAGCUUGUUGGUGGGGUAGUGGCUUACCAAGGCUUUGACGGGUAGCCGGCCUGAGAGGGUGACCGGCAACAUUGGGAAGGAGAUACGGCCCAGACUCAUAAGGGAGGCAGAAGGGGGGAAUAUUGAACAAGGGGCGGAAGCCGGAUGCAGCAACGCCGCGGGCGGGAUGAGGGCCUUCGGGUUGGAAACCGCUGUCGCCGGUGAAGAAGCGGGAGUGACGGUAAUGGGUAAAGAAGCACCGGCUAACUACGUG